UCUUUAGAAUGUGAUUAUUUGAAUUUAUUUUGGAAGAAAUUUAGAGAAGUCUGGCAGUAGUACACCUGAUACAAGCUUUAAGGACAUUGAAGUUAUUCAGGUCCCUAAAAAUAGUUGUAAUA
rnacentral:snoRNA from 1 species